GCCACCUCCCGGCUCCAACUGCCGGCGGCAGACAGGGACAGGCGCGAGGCUAGAGCCCGGCGCCGAUGAGGUGCCCGUCGAACAAAUGCCCGGUGUUUAUAAGGCGUAGGCGGCGCAGCUCGACGUGCCGGAGGACGCCAACGACAACGAACGACGUCUUGACGAGGCUACGACUACGAGUGCUCGUCCGCUCGGAGCGUUGAGCUGAAGGGGAUAUGAAAUGAUGGGGUUUCUUGGUGGAGCGGCGGUGGUGGUGGUGCCCAUCUCAACCCCACUAACCAAUAACUGUAGCCACAGGAGAGUUGCCUAUCAUCAUUAUAUUGAGAAGAAAGAGACUGUUCUGUCAAUGUCUAGACAACUUACUGACAUGGAAUCCAUUUUUCAGUGAAUGAUUUCUACCCUAACUUUGACAAGUCUGUUUCAGAAGGCUUUCCAUUAUGAUAUCCUGUGCAGAACUUUGGCAACUCUGUUUCAGAAGGCUUUUGGAUUAGAUAAAUCUAGCAUGUUCAGAGAAACCAGAUGCUACCAAGGAUCAUGCUAUCAUACACAAGCAGAAAGGUGCUCCAUCUCUAUAUUUUGCAGUAGACAAAAUUCAUACUGCAAUCCAAGAGGUGCCUUAUUUUGGCAACAAUGCUCUGCUUCAUGAUGGGUUCUGAAAGACAGUUUAAAAGAACUAAGGAGUUCAUGUUGUCAUAAAAGGAAAAUUUUGUGUAAUGGAAAUCCUUGUGCAGCAGAUAAGGAGGUGUUGUUGCCUGUUUGGUAUUCAUGCAGCCAUGAACGGAAGCUUGCGUAAUACCAAGCCAUGCAAAUCCUUGUGGGGGCAUGUAAGGCGGUAUAAUUGUCUGUUUGGUCUUCAGGAACUCCACAAAAGGUACAUUUGCCAUUAUCAAUCCAUCCUCAAAUGUAUCUGCUUUGUUAUUGUUCUGUGCCUCCCAUGAAGCCAAAAGAACCAUUUUGUUUAUGGAGCCUUGGAGGGUGCACAAGUAUCCUUCAGUUGGAUUGACCAUAAUUGACAUGCAUGGAUAUGAUGCAGCUA